rnacentral:lncRNA from 1 species
AAAGGAGGUGCAUGGGAUGAAAUUGACUUUGAAUUCUUGGGAAAUUUGAGUGGUGAUCCUUACAUCCUUCAUACCAAUGUGUUUAGCCAAGGCAAAGGUGACAGAGAGCAACAAAUUUACCUUUGGUUUGACCCAACUGCAGAUUUUCACACAUACUCAAUUCUAUGGAAUCCACAACGUAUUGUGUAAGUUCUAAAUCAAUAUAUUCUAUACAAUCUUGAAAUAAAAUCAAUAAAAAAAAUUUAAAAAAAAAAACAUUACUUGUGUUGGAAGAAACUAAAUUAGACUAUUCUCUCUGUGUAUAUUUAUUUCAGUUUCUCUGUGGAUGGAACUCCAAUUAGAGAAUUCAAGAACAUUGAAUCAAGUGGCGUUCCAUUCCCCAAAAACCAACCAAUGAGGAUAUACUCAAGUCUCUGGAAUGCUGAUGAUUGGGCAACAAGAGGAGGACUUGUUAAGACAGAUUGGUCCAAAGCUCCUUUCACUGCUUCUUACAGACACUUCAAUGCUAAUGCAUGCAUUGUGUCUUCUGGAAUAUCAUCUUGUGAUUCAGCACAAUCUAAUAAGAAUGAUUGGUUCUCUGAGGAGCUGGAUUCAACAAGUUAUGAGAGGCUCAAGUGGGUUCAGAAGAAUUACAUGAUCUAUAAUUACUGCAGUGAUAACAAAAGAUUUCCUCAGGGUCUUCCUCAAGAAUGCAGGAUGACUUAGGGGAUUUGUGAAUUUAGUUUACAUCAACAUGUUGUAUAAUUGUAUUGUAUUUUCUUUUGUUUUUGUAACUUUCAUAAUCAAACUCAUUAAUUAUUUGUACCAUUUCUUCAGUAUGCUAUAACUUUUUUUUUUUUUUUAUAAUAGAUAGACAAGUAUAUAUUGUGGAUUUUUCCAAAUCUUCAUCGUUGAAGUUAAUACCAUUGUCUAUGUUAAACUUUUUGGGUAUGCGAGUGGAUUUGGUUCAAAAUGAAAUAACACAGUUGACAAAUACAUUGAGUCAGUGUACACUGCACUAUUAACAUAAAAAAAUAAAAACUAAUUUAAUAGUAGAAGUCAGAUCAGAACUAAAUUAUCACAAUCUUUUUCUAUGUAAUGUUUUUGUAUUCUAAGAGUAUCAUUUUCCCUUGCAGGAAUUAGUAUUAUCCUCAGCAUCAGUGGUCUGAUGGCGGUGUUGAUGUACUGGCUAGGUAGGACGUGCCUGCCCAAGACAAAAUACUACAUGAGAUUUGAGACCCCACCCACAUUCUCAUUGGAACUAACUCUGAAUUUUCAAAAAAAUUGCCAUAAAAUAUGCGAAUGCGCGUCUUCCUAUCCUCAAAUGUUGGCUUGGCUGCAAAAAACCGAGUGACACCCACUUGCAAGUUUUUGUUAACUUAGUAAGAUGACUACUACUUUUUUGAAAGAAAAAGAUUACUACUUCUAUUAAGCAAACUAUUGUUUCUUAUUAGUAAGUAACUUUGUUUUUAGCAGGAAUUUCUAAAAUAAAAACUAUUGUUUCUUAUUAGUAAGUAAUCUUGUUUUUACUUAAAUUUCUAAAAUAAACACUGUUAUAUCCCCCUGAGCUUAGCUCAAUUGACAGGGACAACAUUGUUAUAUGCAGGGGUUGAGGAUUGAACCCCGGACACCUCACUUAUUCUACUUGAAAAAGAGGAAUUAUAGUCAUUAAGCUACUUGAACAAAAAGAAAAAAAGAAAACACUAUUAGGCUAUUAGCCAUUGGCUCUGUUUAAUUAAUUAAUUUUUGUGCCAACUCAUUGAAAACUGCAGCUGUACGCGGCACCAUGAUCCGAGUGCACUUUCCUCUGUUUCAUCAUUCAACAUUUCAUCACACCACAUCUUGUAUAAAUAUCAAUCCCAUUUCUCUUCCACAAUCAUCCCUUCAAUUCAACAUUUCAUCUCCACUACGAAUUACUACCCACCUAUAUAUACAUACACCACCAAAUCAACCAUGGCAUACACUCAUAAUUGCUCAAUGAUCACUGUCCUCUUAUCUCUAUUGGUUUUUGCCACUUUCAUGACUACAUAUGCAGCUGGAAACUUUUACCAGAACUUUGAUAUAACAUGGGGAGAUGGUCGUGCCAAGAUACUCGACAACGGACAACUUCUCACUUUAUCCCUUGACAAAGCCUCUGGUUCUGGAUUUCAAUCCAAGAAUGAAUAUCUCUUUGGCAACAUUGAUAUGCAGCUCAAGCUUGUACCUGGAAACUCUGCAGGAACGGUCACUGCUUACUAUGUAAGUUAUAAAUAAUUGUUAUUGUCUUAGUGCUAAUGCUACAAUAAUAUAUCUAGUCUAAUAAUAAUUUGAACCUUUCAAUACAUAAUCAUGUGUUAAUUAUUUUUACCAUGGCAUGCAGUUGUCAUCAAAAGGAUCAAAUUGGGAUGAGAUUGACUUUGAAUUCUUAGGGAAUGUGAGUGGAGAACCAUACACUCUUCACACCAAUGUGUUUUGUCAAGGAAAAGGAAAUAGAGAACAACAAUUCCAUCUAUGGUUUGAUCCAACUGCUGAUUUUCACACAUACUCCAUUCUUUGGAAUCCUCAACGCAUUGUGUAAGCACUUUUUCAAAUAUCAUACUAAUAAAAACACUGGACACGACACUAACACUAAUAUAUAAACAUGUGUCGGUGUUUGAUAGAUACUAGAAAUUCUUUAAAAAAAAAAUCUCAAUUGGACACAAUGAAUUGAUUAUUGAUAAACAUGUGUUUGAUUGAAUGCAGUUUUUCUGUGGAUGGAACACCAAUAAGAGAAUUCAAGAACAUGGAAUCAAAAGGAGUUGCAUUUCCAAAGAAUCAACCAAUGAGGAUAUAUUCAAGUCUAUGGAAUGCUGAUGAUUGGGCAACAAGAGGUGGUCUUGUCAAGACAGAUUGGACAAAUGCUCCAUUCACUGCAUCAUAUAGGAAUUUCAAUGCAGAAACUACUUCAUCUAAUGCAUGGUUUACCCAACAAUUGGAUUCAACAAGUCAACAAAGAUUGAGUGAGGUUCAGAAGAAUUACAUGAUUUACAAUUAUUGCACUGACAUCAAAAGAUUUCCCCAAGGCCUUCCAACAGAGUGUACUGCAUCCUAAUUAAUAUCUUUCUAUAUUCCAAUAGCAACUAUAUACUUGUAGAUUUAUUCUUUCUUAGGCCUAUUCAAUUUAUUUUACUUGUAACGUGCUUCAUCUUAAUUCAUUUAUUCUUUGAUACACUAUAAUAAAUAUUCAGAUUUCUUUUCUUUCAAGCUUAAUAUAAUCUGCUAAACUAAUUCUAUAUUUGUUAAAGGUGUGUAUAAACAUGUCAAUUUUGCCCAAUAUGUCUUGACAUUUUGUAAGAUGCAAAAAAAAAAAAAAAAAAUUGGUGACUUCGUUUAAUCAUUAUCAUAAGAGUGAAGUUUUAUUCUGGUCUCUAAUGAAAAAAAAUAUGGAACAGUUAGUCUCUAAACAAAAAUUCAUAGACAAAUUCAGUGAUUACAUAGACAGUUAAAUCGACUGUGAAUAUUUAGUAGGAGACAUUGUGGCACUGUAACAAAAAAAAUGAAAGGGUAUAAGUAAGUCCCACACAAAACUUGAUCCGGCUGAGCUGAAAUGUAAACUAGACGCAGCAAUUUACCAUCAAUAAGGAUGUUAUGGAGUAGGGAUGUACAUUCGGAAUCAGAAAGGGGAAUUCGUCAAACCCAAUACUAUUUGGAUUUUGGAAGGAGGCAUCUAUUCCAUUUCUGUAGGCUGAUGCUUUAGGAUUAUAUGAAGCCUUACUAUGGCUAAGUGAGUUGGGUUGCAAAACUUUUAGUUUCAUUAGGUAGCAAACAAAUCUUGUAGCUCACACCCUUGCAAGAACGUCUAAUUUUAAUUUUCCAAGUUUUUAAUUUUAGCCUAAUCUAUAUUAUGAAUACUUUCUUGAAUGGAAUUUAUUAUGAAUAUUGUAAAAAAAUAUAUAUAAAAAAAAGUGUUUGUAUGUAACAAUUCUUUUAUUUUUCGUAGAGAUUGUAAUGACUCUUUUAUUGCUAUAAAAGGGUAUCAUUUUACCAAUGGUUUUUCAUUAUGUGUUAAGAGGGAUACCGAUGGUUUUACAUAAAAAGCCAACCAUAGAAAUGUGAGUCACACAUAUACAAAUUUAUUUAUAUUUUUUAAUGUUGGCAUGCAUUAAACACUCAAUCACUUUAACAUAACACCUAAAAAAUUACUAAAUAGAUCUCACUAAUUGAUUUACAUCAUUAUAUUUUAUAAACGAUUUAUUUGUUAAAUUAUACUUCUUUUAACAAAAAAGACAUUCUUUCAAAAAUAAAAAAACAAAAAAGACAUGUUUAACCCACUUGGAUUCCUAGGUAUUGGUUUGGGACCUGGGAGUGUGCUCCUCCUCAAAGUCUCAGAUUUGAUUCUCUCUGGAGCCAAUUUGGUUGGACUAAUUUAACUUCUUAAAAAAGAAAAAAAAAUGUUUAGUUGUAUCAAAUUAAAUAUAAGCAAAUUCAACUAUAUUUUUAUAUAUAAGCAAAUGCAAUAGAUUAUAUUGAAAGACAAGCCAUGGAUCAAAUCUUACAACUCUUUUAUUUUUGGGAGACUGUAAUGACUUUUUCAUUGCAAAGGUUUGUAUUUCACCCAUGGUUUUCAGUGUCAUUCAACGGAUGAGGUCUAUAUUACCCCCUUAUAAUUUGGGGUAAUUUAUCCCUCAUGGUUUUAAACAAUCAAAUUGUAGGAUAUAAAGUCAACCCUACCCUCAUCGUCAUUAAUUUAAGAGAAAUUUUAACCUUAGAUAAUUUUUAAUACUUUUAAUUUUUUCUUUAAAAAAAAUACUUUUAAUUUUAAUUAAUUAUAUUUUAAGUGUUGAAUUUUAAUAAUUUUACAUUUUAGAGCUUAUAUCAAUUAAAAGUUAACAUCAAAGUUUCUUUCAUCCUUAGAUCCAUCAGUUACAUUUAGAAAACAAUUACAGAGAAAGUGUAAGUCCAAACACAUCUUCACCUUAGAUCCAUCAAAGUUUGAUUUUAAAGAUCGGUUCCUAUAUUUUUCAAAAUUUUCAGACUAGUGCCUAUAUGUUUUCAAACUUUGUAGAUUAGUCUUAUAUUUUUGAAAAUUUACAAAUUGGACCCAAUAUUUCAACUUUACCAAAAUUUGCAGUUCCACCCUCAUUUUUUUUCUAAAACGUCAAAUUUUAUCCAAUUUGAAAAUUCAAUUAGUUAAGUAAAGAUUAUCAUUAGUUAAGUAAAGAUAGUGGUAUAAUUGAGAUAACUUUAUGACUAAUGUUAUUUUUGAAUUUUUAAAAUGACAAAUCCAUGAUUUUCAAUAAAAAAAACAAAGUUCGAAUUUCCAAACUAUGUGUCAAUUUUUGUUUUGGAAGAGGGUUGUAUGAGCAGAACAUAGUAUCAAUCCAGAAGCAUUUGGAUAUACUCUUCUAACAGGUGAAAAAGUAAAAUUUUACAGCUAGCUGGUGCCUCUUGCCAGGGGAUAGGGUCCAGGUAUUAUUCAAAGGUGACGACGGUGACCGUGACCUUAUCCAUCCACUAACUAAGAUAUUAUUCAUUCGUUCAUCAUAUUUUUCUUUUGGUUAAUAUUCAUUCAUUACAUAUAUAUCAUACUUUAUUUACCUGAUGAUAGUGACCUCAAUCUUAUUUAAUACCUCGUGCUCAUCCAAUUGUAACAACGUACAUCCUCUACCCUGCUCCACCAGUAUUACCUUUACUUUGUUACUUUUAUUUAAUCCAUGGUUUCAUUAAUUAAAUACGACAAAGUUUAUUGCCUAUGCUAUGCUCUCAUUUGACAGCUAUUUCCUUACCAAUUCAAUACUAUACAACUAUCCACAGCUUAGGUCACAGUUUGACCUUCCUAUCUUUUUCCUCUCCAAUACUUGCUUCAAACUUCAAAUCACACACGCUCAUUUUUUUACUAUAUAUAUAGUAACAACUCUUCAACCUUCAUAACACAUCCAACAUUACUUUACUUCUUGAAACCACAUCUUCAUUAGUUUUCAUACAUUAGUAAAUUGAUGGCUUCUACUACUACUUUGCUAGUGCUUCUUAUUCCUCUGCUUUGGAUUAAUGUAGCAUGUGUUGCUGGUAACUUCAACAAAGAUUUUCAGAUUACAUGGGGAGAUGGUCGUGCCAAAAUACUCAACAACGCCAAUCUUCUUACUCUAUCUCUUGACAAAGCCUCUGGUUCAGGCUUUCAAUCCAAAAAUGAAUACUUAUUUGGCAAAAUUGAUAUGCAGAUUAAGCUUGUUCCAGGAAACUCUGCUGGCACUGUCACUGCCUAUUAUGUAAGUAUAUUUGAAAUUCAAUAUUUACUUUAUAUCAUGCAUAUUCUUUAGCUUUUGAUAACUAAUUUUUUGGUGCUCAAUUAACUAAUUCAGCUGUCAUCAAAAGGAGGUGCAUGGGAUGAGAUUGACUUUGAAUUCUUGGGAAAUUUGAGUGGUGAUCCUUACAUCCUUCACACCAAUGUGUUUAGCCAAGGCAAAGGUAACAGAGAGCAACAAUUUUACCUUUGGUUUGACCCAACUGCAGAUUUUCACACAUACUCAAUUCUAUGGAAUCCUCAACGUAUUGUGUAAGUACUAAAUCAAUAUAUUCUAUACAAUCUUAAAAUAAAAUCAAUAAAAAAAAAAAAACAUUGCUUGUGUUCGAAGCAACUAAAUUAGAC